CCUACGGGGGGCAGCAGUGGGGAAUAUUGGACAAUGGGCGAAAGCCUGAUCCAGCCAUGCCGCGUGUGUGAAGAAGGCCUUCGGGUUGUAAAGCACUUUCAGUGGGGAAGAAAGCCUUGGGGCUAAUACCCUCGAGGAAGGACAUCACCCACAGAAGAAGCACCGGCUAACUCCGUGCCAGCAGCCGCGGUAAUACGGAGGGUCGAGCGUUAAUCGGAAUUACUGGGCGUAAAGCGCGCGUAGGCGGUCUGAUAAGCCGGUUGUGAAAGCCCCGGGCUCAACCUGGGAACGGCAUCCGGAACUGUCAGGCUAGAGUGCAGGAGAGGAAGGUAGAAUUCCCGGUGUAGCGGUGAAAUGCGUAGAGAUCGGGAGGAAUACCAGUGGCGAAGGCGGCCUUCUGGACUGACACUGACGCUGAGGUGCGAAAGCGUGGGUAGCAAACAGGAUUAGAUACCCCAGUAGUC
rnacentral:rRNA from 1 species